rnacentral:lncRNA from 1 species
AGAAUAAUUUAUCAAUUCAAUUCCUUCACAAGAAUCUAGAACUGUACUUAUACGUACCCAUGAGAUUGACCAGUCAACAAAGAAAAUGCUCACAAUGUCUUAUACGACUUAUUUAUUUUACAUGGUACAUAACACUAUAACCGAAGUCCGUAAGGACAUAUAUCAACACAAAACAGAAGUCUCGAACACUACAGACUCGGACGAGAGUCACCAUAUACUUUGCACUUAAGGCAACUAUAACUUACAGAACUCUAUUUCACACCAUACUAACACAUGACAAGUCAUAACAUAGGCACAUGAUGAGAGUACAGGUCCCAAAUGAGUUAUAAAAUAUCAAACGGGGAUCAAGACACAAUCUUCGAUUUCUACCUAGCGUCGUCGCCAUGAUGGCCGACCCCAGAGCUCGAUGAAACCAUAUUGUAGAUUUGUAGUGUGGGAACCAAUAAAGCCUACUGUCGCUCUGAAAUGGAAAGUAAGGGUCAGUGCUAAUCACUGAGUGAGGAUGUUUGUCCUGACCACUCUAAGGUACAUAAGCAUAUAGAAAGUAUUCCACAUAUAACACAUAAGGCUACUGCUACAUUAUGACUCAUUCAUAUUUUAUUUGGGAUCCCGGCUUACAUAUGUUGACGACCCAUGUAUAAGUUAGUGGCACCAAAACGACGACAGAUACAUUUAGUGUGGCGCUUACCGAGCCCUACAACGUCAGUUAGUGUGAUGCUUACCAAGGCCCAUCGUGUAACAAAAGUGCAAUAAGUACAAUCGCCAUCAUACGGGCCCUAACUAGGUGAUCAAUCAAUUAUUAGAUUUAUUUAAUAAUCGGUAAUAGCUACAGUUCAGAUUAAAACAUAUAUUAAAUCAGAUAGAACAACAAAGUAACAAAACAUGUAUUACAUCAAAUCACAGAUACGGUAAAUAAGCAUAUAUAAUCUUAAGAUUAGAUGGCCAAUACCCUAGCAUGCAUAUGGCCUAAAAUAAUAAUAAACUCAUAAUGGAACGUCUAACCCGGACGUAUACGCAGGAGACCCUCACUAGAAAUAAUCCUUGAGAAUAUCAAUAUAAGCUUCUGAGUUGCGACCUCAAUUAAUUCCAUCGGACUUAUGUACUACAACUCAGUACUACUGCUAAUUCCUCCAAGUCUCAUUUAUGCAAGAAGCUACUUUAUGUGCUCAUGACAUUGAACUAGAUGAAAAGGCUUUUUAUAGGAGGUAUAUACGGUAUAAAUCCAAUUUGCUAAUUAACUUACUCUGUCUAUUUGGGCUUACGUAAAUAUGCAUGAAUCAGUACAUGAAUUCACUAGUAGGAAAAUAAAUUGGAUGGGGAGGCUCCAACUCAAGCUUACCAUGUGGCCCUAGUUUAUGUGUUGUCCCAUAUAAGAGGAUGAGACCAAAAUCAUAAAUUUUUUUAAUUAAAAGCAUAUCUUAUCAUGAAUUUGUACACUACCGCAUAGUAAAUUAAUUUAAUUGGUACUUUCAAUAUGAUCGGGCCGAAUGUUACACAAAUCUCUUCUAUUUUAAAUCUAUAGCUAUUUCAAAUAUCUUAUUUCACGAGUUCGACGAUUUGCAUACUGCUUCUGACGAUCCUAGUCAUUCAAUUAGUUUAUGAAGUGCGGUUAAUUGAAACUCGAUUUUCGGUGCAUUAGGUUAACAUCAGUUGGUUACGAAAUUGGUUAAAAUGCACUAAACCAAUUAAAAUUUGAGCUCAUUCCAUAUUUAUAUUGAAAUCGAAUUAACCGUAACAAAUUUUAAAUAAUCUCCAUGUUUUUCCUAUGUUUUUAAAUUAAUCGCUCCAAAUAUCAUGAAAUUACAAAAUAGUGACCCUAAGCCCUAAUCGAUAUAAGAUUAAGUGGAGGUUUGUGCCAAGGCUUACCCUAAGCCCUAAUCUAUAUAUAUUUUUAAUCGACCUAGCCAAGGUUUACCUUAAACCACCUACCUUAACCAAGUUGCAGCAGUGGAGAUGGAGCUAAAGGCUAGGGAGCAGGUGGUUCGCAAGCUGCAGCGGAGCCUCAUGCGGGUCAGGAGCCGACGGUAAAAUACUAGGACAAGGGUGGCACUGAAAGGGACUCAACUUUUGGUACUUGGUUUAUGUUUGAGUAAAAGUGUAUUGUCAAACUAGAAUAUGCAAUCAUAGUUAUCGCAAGCUAGCGUGUCGC